GACGAACGCUGGCGGCGUGCUUAACACAUGCAAGUCGAACGGAAAGGCCCUGCUUUUGUGGGGUGCUCGAGUGGCGAACGGGUGAGUAACACGUGAGUAACCUGCCCUUGACUUUGGGAUAACUUCAGGAAACUGGGGCUAAUACCGGAUAGGAGCUCCUGCUGCAUGGUGGGGGUUGGAAAGUUUCGGCGGUUGGGGAUGGACUCGCGGCUUAUCAGCUUGUUGGUGGGGUAGUGGCUUACCAAGGCUUUGACGGGUAGCCGGCCUGAGAGGGUGACCGGCGACAUGGGGACUGCGAUACGGCCCAGACUCGUACGGGAGGCAGCAGGGGGGAAUAUUGCACAAUGGGCGGAAGCCUGAUGCAGCAACGCCGCGUGCGGGAUGACGGCCUUCGGGUUGUAAACCGCUUUCGCCUGUGACGAAGCGUGAGUGACGGUAAUGGGUAAAGAAGCACCGGCUAACUACGUG
rnacentral:rRNA from 1 species